AGAGUUUGAUCAUGGCUCAGAUUGAACGCUGGCGGCAGGCCUAACACAUGCAAGUCGAACGGUAACAGGAAGCAGCUUGCUGCUUCGCUGACGAGUGGCGGACGGGUGAGUAAUGUCUGGGAAACUGCCUGAUGGAGGGGGAUAACUACUGGAAACGGUGGCUAAUACCGCAUAAUGUCGCAAGACCAAAGAGGGGGACCUUCGGGCCUCUUGCCAUCAGAUGUGCCCAGAUGGGAUUAGCUUGUUGGUGAGGUAACGGCUCACCAAGGCGACGAUCCCUAGCUGGUCUGAGAGGAUGACCAGCCACACUGGAACUGAGACACGGUCCAGACUCCUACGGGAGGCAGCAGUGGGGAAUAUUGCACAAUGGGCGCAAGCCUGAUGCAGCCAUGCCGCGUGUAUGAAGAAGGCCUUCGGGUUGUAAAGUACUUUCAGCGGGGAGGAAGGUGUUGUGGUUAAUAACCACAGCAAUUGACGUUACCCGCAGAAGAAGCACCGGCUAACUCCGUGCCAGCAGCCGCGGUAAUACGGAGGGUGCAAGCGUUAAUCGGAAUUACUGGGCGUAAAGCGCACGCAGGCGGUCUGUCAAGUCGGAUGUGAAAUCCCCGGGCUCAACCUGGGAACUGCAUUCGAAACUGGCAGGCUUGAGUCUUGUAGAGGGGGGUAGAAUUCCAGGUGUAGCGGUGAAAUGCGUAGAGAUCUGGAGGAAUACCGGUGGCGAAGGCGGCCCCCUGGACAAAGACUGACGCUCAGGUGCGAAAGCGUGGGGAGCAAACAGGAUUAGAUACCCUGGUAGUCCACGCCGUAAACGAUGUCUACUUGGAGGUUGUGCCCUUGAGGCGUGGCUUCCGGAGCUAACGCGUUAAGUAGACCGCCUGGGGAGUACGGCCGCAAGGUUAAAACUCAAAUGAAUUGACGGGGGCCCGCACAAGCGGUGGAGCAUGUGGUUUAAUUCGAUGCAACGCGAAGAACCUUACCUGGUCUUGACAUCCACGGAAGUUUUCAGAGAUGAGAAUGUGCCUUCGGGAACCGUGAGACAGGUGCUGCAUGGCUGUCGUCAGCUCGUGUUGUGAAAUGUUGGGUUAAGUCCCGCAACGAGCGCAACCCUUAUCCUUUGUUGCCAGCGGUCCGGCCGGGAACUCAAAGGAGACUGCCAGUGAUAAACUGGAGGAAGGUGGGGAUGACGUCAAGUCAUCAUGGCCCUUACGACCAGGGCUACACACGUGCUACAAUGGCGCAUACAAAGAGAAGCGACCUCGCGAGAGCAAGCGGACCUCAUAAAGUGCGUCGUAGUCCGGAUUGGAGUCUGCAACUCGACUCCAUGAAGUCGGAAUCGCUAGUAAUCGUGGAUCAGAAUGCCACGGUGAAUACGUUCCCGGGCCUUGUACACACCGCCCGUCACACCAUGGGAGUGGGUUGCAAAAGAAGUAGGUAGCUUAACCUUCGGGAGGGCGCUUACCACUUUGUGAUUCAUGACUGGGGUGAAGUCGUAACAAGGUAACCGUAGGGGAACCUGCGGUUGGAUCACCU
rnacentral:rRNA from 1 species